UACGAAGGGGGCUAGCGUUGCUCGGAAUCACUGGGCGUAAAGGGCGCGUAGGCGGCGUUUUUAAGUCGGGGGUGAAAGCCUGUGGCUCAACCACAGAAUUGCCUUCGAUACUGGGACGCUUGAGUAUGGUAGAGGUUGGUGGAACUGCGAGUGUAGAGGUGAAAUUCGUAGAUAUUCGCAAGAACACCGGUGGCGAAGGCGGCCAACUGGACCAUUACUGACGCUGAGGCGCGAAAGCGUGGGGAGCAAACAGG
rnacentral:rRNA from 1 species